UAUUUUUUUAGUAUAUAUUUGUACAUUAGACUUCCAAUCUGAGAGAUUAGUAAAAACUAGAAAAAAUAA
rnacentral:tRNA from 1 species